rnacentral:rRNA from 1 species
AGUGAACGCUGGCGGUAGGCCUAACACAUGCAAGUCGAACGGCAGCACAGUAAGAGCUUGCUCUUACGGGUGGCGAGUGGCGGACGGGUGAGGGAUACAUCGGAAUCUACUUUUUCGUGGGGGAUAACGUAGGGAAACUUACGCUAAUACCGCAUACGACCUACGGGUGAAAGCAGGGGAUCUUCGGACCUUGCGCGAUUGAAUGAGCCGAUGUCGGAUUAGCUAGUUGGCGGGGUAAAGGCCCACCAAGGCGACGAUCCGUAGCUGGUCUGAGAGGAUGAUCAGCCACACUGGAACUGAGACACGGUCCAGACUCCUACGGGAGGCAGCAGUGGGGAAUAUUGGACAAUGGGCGCAAGCCUGAUCCAGCCAUACCGCGUGGGUGAAGAAGGCCUUCGGGUUGUAAAGCCCUUUUGUUGGGAAAGAAAAGCAGCAGGUUAAUACCCCGCUGUUCUGACGGGACCCAAAGAAUAAGCACCGGCGAACUUCGU